CGCCUCUCCGACCGAGGUACAUAUAUAUAUAUAUAUAUCCGGAUUUCGUGCCCCUCUAAUAGGCUGGUCCACAGAAUCCGCCUACUGCAGCAAGCUAAACCCACCAUAUAAUAAAAUUUUUGACAGCAUGACAGGGUUAAUAUUUUACUACCCAGCCUGCAAGGGUAAAAUAAAAUAAUUCAUACAAUUCAUAAAACACAGCCCAGCCGGUCAUGCCAACACAAUAACAAUAUAACAUAAGCCAUCAAUUUUCAAUCAUAAAUUUACAACAUACCGGUGGUCUCCAAUUACUCAAUUUUCAAAAUCGUUAUUCAAUUUCAAGACAAUUUAUAAAAUCUUUCAAUGUAAACACAUUUUGUUUGUAAAACACAAAAAUUUACCAUUUAAACUCAUUUUCAUAAAAUUUCACCAAAACCGAUUAAAAACAUACUUUAGAUAAUUAAAAUGAUGGUAAGGUUACUUACAGUACUAGGAGUUCGAUAUACUUCUAUUCUUGAUCUUCGGGCAUAAUCUUUUUACCCUUGUUAGAGGGCUCACCACCUAUACAUCAUACGUGACAUGAAUUUCAAUAAAUUGUGUCAAUUUAUCAUAAACUAUUUCAGGCUCUCUAAAUCUAAAUGAAUGCAUGCGAUGGGAAUCAAAAUGUCUGAUUAAUCACUUAAAUGUGAUAUUCGACCUAAGUCACACUAUACCCGAACUAAUCGGCUAGAAUCUCUAAUUUAACUCCAAAUCAAUUCUUCUCACUUUCUACACUCCAAUUGUACCUAAAUUACCUCAGUGACUGUGAAUGAGAUUCAAUUUAUCAUUCUUGAGUCAAUAAUCACACAUGUCUAUACAUUAGGUAAAAAUUCAAAUUUUUACACCAAAAUUUUCCAUUUAAUUUCUAGCCUUACUAAACAUCAAAUAUCACCCAAAUAUCAUGAAAUAUCAUCAAUUUCAGCCACAAUAUCCUCCCUAGAAAAUUCGGCCAAUGAUGGUGAUGGGGGAAAAUGAAUUCUUUUCUUGUUGUUUUGUUUCUAAAUAUGCUAAACUAACUAAAAACACUAGCAUAACUUAAAAUCAAAUCAAUCCAACAUCUUUCUCUCUCCAUACCCAUUUUGACCAGCCAUGAAUUCAUCAUGAAAACAUGUAAUUUAACCAUGAAAAAUAAGGAGAAAUGCUUAAGGAAAAUAGAUUUCAAGUUUAAAUUAAACAAUCCUACCUUUUUUACUUGUUCUCCUUGAUUUUCCACACUUUUUCUCUUGAAAUCCUCCACCUAGGUUUUGUUCUUGUUUU
rnacentral:lncRNA from 1 species